ACUCAAAUGAAUAGACGGGGGCCCGCACAAGCAGUGGAGUAUGUGGUUUAAUUCGAAGCAACGCGAAGAACCUUACCAGGGCUUGACAUCCCUCUGACCGGCUUAGAGAUAAGCCUUUUCUUCGGAACAGAGGUGACAGGUGGUGCAUGGUUGUCGUCAGCUCGUGUCGUGAGAUGUUGGGUUAAGUCCCGCAACGAGCGCAACCCCUGUUGUUAGUUGCCAUCAUUAAGUUGGGCACUCUAACGAGACUGCCGGUGACAAAUCGGAGGAAGGUGGGGACGACGUCAAAUCAUCAUGCCCCUUAUGUCCUGGGCUACACACGUACUACAAUGGCGAAUACAGAGGGAAGCGAAAUCGUAAGGUAGAGCAAAUCCCAAAAAAUCGCCUCAGUUCAGAUUGCAGGCUGCAACUCGCCUGCAUGAAGUCGGAAUUGCUAGUAAUGGCAGGUCAGCAUACUGCCGUGAAUACGUUCCCGGGCCUUGCACACACCGCCCGU
rnacentral:rRNA from 1 species